rnacentral:lncRNA from 1 species
AAAAGAACCUAUAUCCAAAGAGCUGGGUUCUCCUUUCGGAUGUGAUGUUGAACAGUUUCUCUGUGUGCUUCAUCUCCACCUCCCUCCCAGCUUUUAUGUCCCUUCUACUUCGUCUUCAAACUCGAGUUCAAAUCUCCUUCCCUCUGAAAACCCCCUCUCGACUGCGCUACCCAUUGUAAAGACCGACUCUUCAGUGAAGACACAGAAUCAGCAUUUGGGAGAUGCGGAGACCAGGGACGAGUCCUUCCUCCUGGGAGAGCUGGGAUUCCAGUCCUGGGAGUGAUUCUGGGUCAUCAGGCCGGAGAAUCACACUCUCUGCUAUCAGCAUCCAACCUACUCGAGUCCUGACCCCACACUGCCAGGAGAGUCCAGCAAGCCCUGAGGGCCUGAGCACAGCCAGGCUGGACACUGGAGGCAGCCCCGGGAGAUGGUGGGACCUCCUAGGUGACGCCAAAAUCCAUCUCUCCACUAAAGAUGUUUAUCUAGCUGCAGACAAACUUUCAAACCUUCUCUUGGCUCCUCGCCCAGAAGAUCUGCCAGGGAAGCACAGAAUGGAGAAGGAGGAGGGGUAGAGAAGCACACUUUGUGCUUAGGGACUCUCUUUUCCUUCCCCCAAUCUUCUACUCUCCCACUACUGUGUUUUUCUAAUACUGUCUACUCUUCAUCAUGGUUGAGAAGCUACUGAGCUGGUGUUUCCUAAAUUCUAGAACUAGUGCCUGAUUAAUUAGCAAAUAAUUACAAAACAAUAUACAACCUCCAGAUGAAAAGCUUAAUUGCAGAGUAUUACGUCAGGACCUUAGAAUUAAUAGCAUAUAAUAUUUACACUAUUCUAUUGCUGAUCUCUGACCACUUCCACAAUUUCCGCAGAAAUUAGAUACUGUCUUUUUUAGCUAUAAUUGUCUCAAAGGGAAAAAGAAAAGCUGACAUGACAGUGCAGUCCUUCCAAAUAGAACUUCAUGAUCAGUUCAUUGACUUGGAGGCAUCUUAAAGAAAAUUUUAAGAUCACCUAGAUCAAAUCAUCCAUUUUAUAAAUAGGUAAAGUGAAGCCCACAGAGGCUUUGGGGACAGUUUCCAAAGUCAUUAAUCAGCGUUUUCAAUUCCAUUCCUCCCAUGUGUGGGGCUCAAUCUCUCCUUCCUUUACACGGUGGAGAGCAUGGCUUUCUUCCUGCGGUCCAGUGUCACCAGGCUUAUGUCUUCAUAGCUCAUUUCCGAGGAGAUGGGGGAAUCUUGCCUCAUAGCUUUUGGCUUUCAAAGUGCAUGAGAAAACCCUUGUGGGUCCAGCUUGGUCAUUCUGCUACAGCGUGGACUAUGUUCCACGGACAAACAGAAGAGACACCAUGAUUAACCAGGUCUGUGUUACAGGACUAUGCUCUAAGCAAGGAAAAGGUCACUGAAAUUAGGGAUCCCCACCAGUGAACCAUGACAAAAAUGAGUGGAAGAUUGGUGUUCCCAGUGGAAAUAGUGGAAAGAUGGCUGCUAUGUCCCUUCUCCUAGCAUUGGCCUUAUGGAGCCUCACAGUGAUGAUUCGUCUGAUCAACUAUGGAUGAUGAUA